AAUAAGUGGGAUGCUGUUACUGAGUUGGAAUUCGCCUGUUAUUUGAAGUUCACCAACAUGUUAUUCAUAAACUUUGGUCCUCCAAAGUUUGGGCUGUCAAAAACUGCAACUCUCCCCCAUGUUCCUAAUACUCCAGGAUGGAGGGGCAGCUCAUUUACCCAUCUCCUGGUGGCCUUUCCUCCACUCAUUUGCAGGAGCCUCAGUCCCACCUUCCGUCUUCACGUGCUUUCUCUUUGUCUCACCAUCUCCAUGGCGCAUCUGUGUUUGAACUCAAAUUUCACUUUUUUACCAGGACACUAUUAAUAUCAGGUAAGAUCCAUCCAAAUGAACUCAUCUCAAAUA
rnacentral:sRNA from 1 species